AAGCGGGGCAACCCGCAAGUAGAGUGGCGGACGGGUGAGUAACGCGUAGGAAUCUACCUGGUAGUGGGGGACAACCCGGUGAAAACCGGGCUAAUACCGCAUACGAUCCACGGAUGAAAGCAGGGGACCGCAAGGCCUUGCGCUAUCAGAUGAGCCUGCGUCGGAUUAGCUAGUUGGUGAGGUAACGGCUCACCAAGGCGACGAUCCGUAGCUGGUUUGAGAGAACGACCAGCCACACCGGAACUGAGACACGGUCCGGACUCUUACGGGAGGCAGCAGUGGGGAAUAUUGGACAAUGGGGGCAACCCUGAUCCAGCAAUGCCGCGUGUGUGAAGAAGGCCUUCGGG
rnacentral:rRNA from 1 species